rnacentral:lncRNA from 1 species
UGGACUAAAGCACACACAGAUGUGCUGUGCAAAUGGCAGUGAAAUAUGCUAACUGCUCAGUCCCGUGCUAAUCAAGAAGCCAGUGACACACACACAGUGUAUUUUCUUGAGCAUCUCAUUCUGGGCUGGCCAAGGGCUGGAUCUUGUUUAACCUCGCACUGUGCCCAUCCUACAUGGUGCCAAACUUGGGGUCUUUGGGCAGGCAGGAGAUCAGGUGAAGAAUGGAUUGCAGAAUUGCUUCAAGUGGUAGAAGCUCAAUUCUUGUCUUGUUGAUUAUUCCCAGGAAUCUGUUGUGGGCAGUGGAAACGGCUGGGAUUUAUCUUCAGGAUAAUUGAGGGCAAAGGAUAAAAAAUUCCCAAGCUGGUUUAAUCAGAAAGAAGGACAAUGGGAAGGACCCAGUGGGAGCUUGGGGAACCUGUGGAGCUGGGCAUUGGCUGGCCUCAGUAGGUCUGCAGUCCCUGAUGAAUAAUGAGCUCUGAGCAAAGUAAACUUGGCACUAUGUCAGUGGUCUCCACAUAGCUCCCCUCAGAUUUUGGGGACUCUGUCUGCAUUAUCCUGUGAGACCCAGUAUGACAACUCAACCACAAUCUGAAGCAAUUAUGGCCACUGUAACAUGAGGACCAUAGAAAGGAAUGUGCUGCAUCACACACCGGUUCUCAGACUUUCUGCCUAGAGAUGACACCUUCCUAUGUGAUUGCUCAACUCCAGUGGUAGGGACAGAAUAAUACAGUCCUGCCAGGUGCUUGGAGGAAGAGCAAGCAUCCCUAGUGACAUGGAGGACACAACAAUUCACCUGGCCCCCACAGCAGAUAAAGAAACUGAGGCUCAGAGAGGAGAAAUUAUUCAUCCCUGGCCCCUCAAUAAGCUCCAGCUCCUAAAAGCCACCCUUGUUUCUUCUGCCCAUUGCCUGGGACACAGUGACAUGUGGUUGCUGAAUUGAGAGAAAUCUGAUUGAUUUGAGUUGAGCAAUUUUCCUCCACCAUGAUACUUCUGUCUUGGAGCCAGCUAAAACAGACUGAACUCUCUGAAACUGUGAGGCAAAAUAAAGCUCUCCUCCUUCAAGCUGUGGGUGUUGCGUACUUUGUCCCAAUGGGAAAGUGACUACUACAGUCUUCA